ACCCAUUGUGGAGCCCAACAUAGAGUUUGAACUCACGACCCUGACAUCAAGACCUGACCUAAGAUGGAGAGUCAUAUGUCCAACCGGCUGAGCCACCCAGGCGCAUCCAAGCAUCACGUGAGCUUUAAAGGCACAGAGGGACACUCCGAGUCACUGAGGCACAGGUGGAAAGAAGACAAAGACUCUUUUUAUUUGAGAACACAUCUUUUGAGUGUCUGUGAAUGUAAGUGAAACUCAAGAUACCUUCUCUAGGAAAUAAGACAAACUCCUGGUUUGAAUUUCACUCCAUUGAGUAGGGUCUCCACAGUAUGAAGAUCUAAUGUUGAUAACCAGAUCUUUUUUGGAAAUGCUUGGUAUCGGAAGAAGGGUGA